GAUGAACGCUGGCGGCGUGCCUAAUACAUGCAAGUCGAGCGAACAGACGAGGAGCUUGCUCCUCUGACGUUAGCGGAGGACGGGUGAGUAACACGUGGAUCACCUACCUAUAAGACUGGGAUAACUUCGGGACACCGGCGCUAAUACCGGAUAAUAUCUUGAACCACAUGGUUCAAUAGUGAAAGACGGUUUUGCUGUCACUUAUAGCUGGAUCCGCGCCGCGUUAGCUAGUUGGUAGGGUAACGGCUUACCAGGGCAACGCUGCGUAGCCGACCUGAGAGGGGGUUCGGCCACUGUGAAAGUGAGACACGGCCCAGACUCCUACGGGAGGCAGCAGUAGGGAAUGUACCGCAAUGGGCGAAAGCCUGACGAAGCAACGGCGCGUGGGUGAUGAAGGUCUGCGUGUCGUAAAACUCUGUUAGUAGGGAAAAACAAAUGUGUAAGUAACUAUGCACGUCUGAAGGGAACCUAUUCAGAAGCCCACGGCUAACAACGG
rnacentral:rRNA from 1 species